rnacentral:rRNA from 1 species
GAUGAACGCUGGCGGCGUGCCUAACACAUGCAAGUCGAACGGGAACCCUUGGAUUCGUCUGAGGGGGAGAGUGGCGAACGGGUGAGUAACACGUAGGUGACCUGCCCCAAAGAGGGGAAUAACCACUGGAAACGGUGGCUAAUACCUCAUGUGCUCGGUGGUUCGUUCCAUCGAGGAAAGCUCCGGCGCUUUGGGAGGGGCCUGCGGCCCAUCAGGUAGUUGGUAGGGUAAUGGCCUACCAAGCCGAUGACGGGUAGGGGGCGUGAGAGCGUGAUCCCCCACACUGGCACUGAGAUACGGGCCAGACUCCUACGGGAGGCAGCAGUGAGGAAUAUUGCCCAAUGGACGCAAGUCUGAGGCAGCAACGCCGCGUGGGCGAUGAAGGCCUUCGGGUUGUAAAGCCCUUUUCUGGGGGACGAGAGAGGACGGUACCCCAGGAAUAAGUCACGGCUAACUACGUG